GUAGUCUAGAGAGUAAGUAGUUUGUGGUCCCAGUCUAGAGAGAAAGUAGCCUAGAGAGUAAGUAGUUUGUGGUCCCAGUCUAGAGAGAAAGUAGUCUAGAGAGUAAGUAGUUCGUGGUCCCAGACUAGAGAGUAAGUAGUCUAGAGAGUAAGUAGUCUAGAGAGUAAGUAGUUUGUGGUCCCAGUCUAGAGAGUAAGUAGUCUAGAGAGUGUAGUUUGUGGUCCCAGUCUAGAGAGUAAGUAGUCUAGAGAGUAAGUAGUUUGUGGUCCCAGACUAGAGAGUAAGUAGCCUAGAGAGUAAGUAGUUUGUGG